rnacentral:rRNA from 1 species
UCCUACGGGAGGCAGCAGUGGGGAAUAUUGCGCGAUGGACGAAAGUCUGACGCAGCGACGCCGCGUGGAGGAUGAAGGUUUUCGGAUCGUAAACUCCUGUCAAGAGGGAAGAAACCUGUUGAAACUAAUACUUUCAGCAAUUGACGGUACCUCUAGAGGAAGCACCGGCUAAUUCAGUGCCAGCAGCCGCGGUAAUACUGAAGGUGCAAGCGUUAAUCGGAAUCACUGGGCGUAAAGCGCUCGUAGGUGGCUUUGUAAGUCAGGUGUGAAAGCCCACGGCUCAACCGUGGAAUUGCACUUGAUACUGCAUCGCUAGAGUAUAGGAGAGGGAAGUGGAAUUUCUGGUGUAGGAGUGAAAUCCGUAGAGAUCAGAAGGAACACCCGUGGCGAAGGCGACUUCCUGGACUAUUACUGACACUGAGGAGCGAAAGCGUGGGGAGCAAACAGGAUUAGAUACCCUGGUAGUCCACGCCGUAAACGAUGGGUACUAGGUGUCGGGGGCUUGACCUUCGGUGCCGUAGUUAACGCGUUAAGUACCCCGCCUGGGGAGUACGGUCGCAAGGCUGAAACUCAAAUGAAUUGACGG